CCUACGGGUGGCUGCAGUGAGGAAUAUUGGUCAAUGGGCGCGAGCCUGAACCAGCCAAGUAGCGUGAAGGAUGAAUGCCCUACGGGUUGUAAACUUCUUUUAUAAAGGAAUAAAGUGAGGAACGUGUGCCUUUUUGUAUGUACUUUAUGAAUAAGGAUCGGCUAACUCCGUGCCAGCAGCCGCGGUAAUACGGAGGAUCCGAGCGUUAUCCGGAUUUAUUGGGUUUAAAGGGAGCGUAGAUGGGUUGUUAAGUCAGUUGUGAAAGUUUGCGGCUCAACCGUAAAAUUGCCGUUGAUACUGGCAGCCUUGAGUACAGUUGAGGUAGGCGGAAUGCGUGGUGUAGCGGUGAAAUGCUUAGAUAUCACGAAGAACUCCGAUUGCGAAGGCAGCUUACUAAACUGCCACUGACAUUGAUGCUCGAAAGUGUGGGUAUCAAACAGGAUUAGAUACCCUAGUAGUC
rnacentral:rRNA from 1 species